rnacentral:misc_RNA from 1 species
AUUUGUGUUUCGUAUUGUACUUCGAACUUCUAAUACGAGUUCGUAGGUUCACUCCUUAGAAUUUUGUAUUGUGGCCUGUACAAUCUUGUUGAAAAUUUGGUGCAAGAAUCCAGUAAAUCUAUUUCAAGUAUUAACACGAAUAAUAGAGCUGAUAGUCAUAUAUCAUAUUUGAAUUAAAAUGGAACUCAAUCCUCAAAUGCCCUUCCCUUCUAGUUCUAGAAUGCAAGGGCCUAAUGGUAAUAUGAAUUCUUGUAUUUCUAUGAAUAUGAGUGUUUCAAUGAGUAUGAGUGCGUCUUCAUGUAUGCCAAGUGUACGUAUGGGUAUGCCAUUAACAAAUGUUGGGCCAGUUAUGCCUAGUAGGUAUUCAGGCACAGGUUUUGGUUAUAAUAAUGCAUGGAUGAAUCAUGGAUCUGGGCAGUAUAUAUCUGUAAAUAAUGAAGGGUUUGACUCAAGUCAACCGUUACAAAAAAUAAAACCAUCAGUAAGUGAUGGACUUCAACUUGGCAGUGCCAAUGGCAUGACUAAGACUGCUAACAUCCAAAAAACCUCUGAAAAUAAUAGUGCCACUGUUAAUAAUAAACAAGAGAAAAAGACUUCAGUAGUUAAACCUCUUCCUCCACCACCAACACCAUCAGCAUUAUUGGCACGUAUUGGUAAAUCAAUUCUUGAAAGACAAAUGCAAACUAAAGAAUAUAAAAUUAGUAAAACUGUCAAAAUUAGUUCUGAUAAAAUACAUUUAAGGUUAUCUGAUAAAUCUUCAUCUGAGCCACUACCACCUGGUGAAGAUGAUGAAAAAAUACGCAAUGAACUAAAACUUAAAAGUCUUGAACUAAAGAGAAAAGAAGAAACAAGUAAACUUCAAUUAAAAUCUAACAUUGUGACUUCAAGUAAAAUUCCAUUUGAAAGUAACUUUGACAUGAAAUUACCAGGAUUUGUAAAAGCAGAUGUAGAUAUGUAUGGUCCCAUGUCUGGAAUGUUAAUGCAGAGUGGUCUAUAUCCCAUGCGUGGGCCAAGUCACAUGCCAGAAUCAGCAAUAUUUAGUGUUCCAAAACAUGUGUAUGAGAUGGGAAUGUUUAAUGUUCCUGGUCCAAUAGGAAUGUUUUCAAGUCCAGGACACAAAGGUGGAGUGGGAAAUGUAAUAAUGAAUGAUCCAUCAUGUGGGUCUAUACUAGGUAUGGGAAAUAUGAGAGGACAUGACUUUCCACCUUCUCAGUUUGAUUGUGGAGUAAGACCAAUAGGGCCCCCAGGGAGCUAUGGACCCAGAAUUGGUAACAUGCAACAAUUUGAAGGUCCUCGACCACCAAGGCCUGAAAAUUUUACAGGUAUGUGUCAAGGACCAGGCCCUAUACAUGGUCCUGAUAUGAUGCCAUUCAGGUAUCCUAGGGCAACUCCAGAUGUAAGAGGAAGAUUUAAAGGGCCAGAACCUGGUAGGAGUGAUAUGGGUAUGAUAAAUCAGCCAGUGCCAUUUGUUCCUAAUUGUCCAGAUGGCCCUGUUGAUUAUGAAUGUGUAGGGGAGGAACAUGAAAAACCAAACAAAAAAAAGAAUGCAAAACUAGUUUCAAGAAAAAUGUCAUCACAACAAGCAAACAAUGAUGAGCCUCCAUAUGAUCCUAAGAAGCCAUGGAUUACACCAGAAAUCUGGAAGGAAAUUCGAAAGAAAUAUGAACUUCAAAAAGUAGCAAGAGAAAGUGGUACAGCACAGGCUUGGAGAACAUUCAAGAUUCAAAGAAAUCGUGUAGCCAGUCUGUUGAGGGAUUCCAAAGUUCGACUUGGUUUUCCUCGAGGUGGUUCAAAAGGAAAUAAACUGAACUUGGCAAUGAAGAGAAGAGCUAAGAGAAAAUAGGUGUAGAAAAAACCUGGAGAAAAGUUUUUUCAUGUUCCUACCAUGGAAAGGUCAGGUGUUUGUUAUAAGAGAGGAUGAAUAGAAAGGAAGUGGUUAAGAAACCCAAACUUGCGAGACUUAACAAAGUUAACGAAAGAACAUCCUCAAUUUUUGCUCAAGUGUAAACCAGCUCUAAUACGCAGAUCAUUCAGGCCUGCAUGACAAAGAAACGGUGAUUUGUCAUCGAACCCACCUCUCCAGAAGCCUACACAUCUUUAGGAUAGUAAUGGAAAGAGUUUCAGAUUCAUUGAUGAAUUUUUGAAAUUGAAAUUCUGUAUCAGAGAUAGGGUUGUUCAGCUUAAUCAGAUUGGAUUACAACAGAAAGACAAUGAAUGCAACUGACUGUGUUAUAGAAGAAUUUAAAACUUGCAACAGCUUUGAUAGGAUUCUUCACAAGGUUUUGUUAUAAACAGGUGCAUCUGUUGACAGUGUUGUGACUAUAAGUUGACAGGCUGUUGUUGGUAAGAUGAAAACCCUGCUUUUACAUAAGAAUUGGACUUUUAUAGUGCUGCAUUGAAACUAUCAUGUUUGAAAGCAGAUGAAAAUACACAAGUCACUUUAAAUUGGAGAAGUCUUUUCUACAUUCAAGUGCAAGGACAAAUAGCCAUUCUUAAGAUACCCAGAUGUUAUUUUGUACUUUGUAUGAAAGAAAAAACAUUAAUGUGGAAUUCUGUUAUGAUAAUAUUGGACAAAUUUUAUGAGUUUUCUUCCUGAAAGUGUAUAUUCAUCAAUAAAGUUUGAA